rnacentral:rRNA from 1 species
AACGAACGCUGGCGGCAUGCCUAACACAUGCAAGUCGAACGAAGCCUUCGGGCUUAGUGGCGCACGGGUGCGUAACGCGUGGGAAUCUGCCCUUGGGUUCGGAAUAACAGUUAGAAAUGACUGCUAAUACCGGAUGAUGUCUUCGGACCAAAGAUUUAUCGCCCAAGGAUGAGCCCGCGUCGGAUUAGCUAGUUGGUGAGGUAAAGGCCCACCAAGGCGACGAUCCGUAGCUGGUCUGAGAGGAUGAUCAGCCACACUGGGACUGAGACACGGCCCAGACUCCUACGGGAGGCAGCAGUGGGGAAUAUUGGACAAUGGGCGAAAGCCUGAUCCAGCAAUGCCGCGUGAGUGAUGAAGGCCUUAGGGUUGUGAAGCUCUUUUACCCGGGAUGAUAAUGACAGUACCGGGAGAAUAAGCCCCGGCUAACUCCGUGCCAGCAGCCGCGGUAAAAC